UCUCCGUAGGUGAACCUGCGGAGGGAUCAUUACAGAGUUCAUGCCCUACCGGGUAGAUCUCCCACCCUAUGUUAUUAUUACUUUGUUGCUUUGGCGGGCCGUUAGGCUCCGGCCCGACUACCGGCCCCGGCUGGUAAGCGCCCGCCAGAGGACCCAAAACCCUGAACAUUAGUGUCGUCUGAGUACUAUAUAAUAGUUAAAACUUUCAACAACGGAUCUCUUGGUUCUG
rnacentral:misc_RNA from 1 species